GCUUUUUUAGUAUAAUGUAGUAUUUCUUGUUUCCAUCAAGAGGGUUUCUUUAGAGAAAAGAAGUA
rnacentral:tRNA from 1 species